GUAGUAGUAGUAGUAGUAGUAGUAGUAGUAGUAGUAGUAGUAGUUUUUGCGAGCCCUUAAUCUGCAUUUUAUGAGCCCUGGCGCUACUUAAAAAGCCCUCAUGCUACUUCACGCGCCCUUAUGCUGCAAUUUGAGCCCUCAUGCUGCAAUUUGAGCCCGUUUGUUGGCAGCAUAAGGGCUCUCUGCGCCCUUAUGUCACGGGCUUUAUUUGUGAAAGUAAUCGAGUUUAUGUUGUGAUUUAGAACUAUAACAUUUAAUAAGUAUGCGUACAUAUAAUAUAGCAUUAUUUAGGAUCUCAAAUCAGACUUUUAUUUGAUUAUGAUAACAUAAAGAUAAUAAUUAUUUAUGGUUUUAUUUCUUAACUAUGUGGUACUUUUUUAUCUGUUUUUAAAUUAAGCCAAUAUUUAAUAAUUUUAUUUAUUUGUCCAAGCAUUAUUAUUAGUAACAUUAACAUGAAACCAUUUUAAAAGCAUUUUAUAUUGAUCAAGAGUGUUUCAACUAAACUUUUUUCAAAUUUUAUUUUAAAUCAUUAUAGGACUUUUAUAUUGUAAAUGGUUCCUGCUUAUCCAAAGCUCCUUCUAAUAUAUUCAAUAUGUUAUAUAAUUUUUUAAAAUACUUUGGAAUAAAAGAGUAUGAUUAAGAAAAUGAUUAGGUUGUUUUCAUCUUCGUUUAAUUAAUUUUAUUUAUUUUUCUAAAACACUUUUAUUUCAGUUUAGUUUCAGUUUAAUUAAAAUGAAUACUUGUUCCAUUUGUCAACUAACCUCAUUUACAAGUUUAUCCUGUGCUUUAUGUACAAAAAUUGUUGGCACCAAAUGUCAAGGUAUUAGAAUCAAUGAAUACAAUGUGUGAAUACAAUGCUGUGUAUAAAACUUGUACAGUUUUUAAAUUGUUUACAAAAGACCAGUUUGAAGAGGUUGCAGUGUCUCCAACUAUUAAAAUGAUUUUUUCUGGAGCAGUCCAGCUAUAAACCCCUGGUAAACCUUAUAAUUUUGCCAGAACCAGGUAUGCAAAAAGUUUCAUUUUUAGAAGGGACAGGGCUGAAGCCCUAGUCACUUACUAUAUCUGUUAACAGUUUUCAAAUUCCACUUUUUUGUACAUAUUUUUGUUACACGCUCUCAUUAUUAUGAUGUUAUUUUCUUUUUAAUUACACAGUUUCACACACAACAUUUACAAAGCUAGUGGUUCUAUAAAAAAUUAAGGAAAGAAUAAAUUUUAGAGUUGUCAUCGGCUAAAAAGAUAACGUUUAAUACAAAAGUCGCAUUCAUAUCUAAAAACAGGUAACGUGACACCAGGUUUUUAAACAGGUGAGUUUUAUCGCAUUUAUUUCAAUUUUAUUUUAUUAAUGAUUGUUUUAUUUAACUAAUUUUUGUUUCGUAAAUACCUAAUAUUUACCAUUCAAAUUUAAAUAUUUUUUGUAAAUAAAACAUUAAAUCAUCGGAUUUAGUUGAUGAACCUAUUGAACCUCGGAUUUAGUUGAUGAACCUAUUGUCUACUGUUGAAACAUGAUUUGAUUCAGUCAAUUUUUAUUAUUUGAAUUUUACUGUAUUAAUCAUUAGUCAACAGUUAGCGAGAAACUGGUGCUCUACGUAAUUGAGAUUAAUUGAUGAACAUUUCAAUCGUCACCGAAAAUUGAAUUUUCCUGUUUGUUGCAGGCUUGUUUUCCUUUAAUUAGGAGUAUGGUAGACUUAAAGAAGCAGUUCAUAUCUAAACGACACAAACUGUCAAAAGCAAGAGAAAUAAAGAAAAAAAGAGUUUUAUAGCGACAGAACUUAUUUUAAUUGAAUAAAUGUUCAAAACUUUAGUUUAGAAAAUAUAUUUUUUAUGCAUAAUGUUGUA